rnacentral:rRNA from 1 species
UCAGUAACACGUAGUCAACAUGCCCAGGGACGUGGAUAACCUCGGGAAACUGAGGAUAAACCGCGAUAGACCAAGAUUUCUGGAAUGGAUCAUGGUUGAAACCUAUACGGCCCCUGGAUUGGACUGCGACCGAUCAGGCUGUUGGUGAGGUAAUGGCCCACCAAACCUAUAACCGGUACGGGCUUUGAGAGAAGGAGCCCGGAGAUGGGCACUGAGACAAGGGCCCAGGCCCUAUGGGGCGCAGCAGGCGCGAAAACUCUGCAAUAAGCGAAAGCUUGACAGGGUUACUCUGAGUGAUGUCCGUUAAGGGCAUCUUUUGGCACCUCUAAAAAUGGUGCAGAAUAACGGGGUGGGCAAGUCUGGUGCCA